rnacentral:rRNA from 1 species
UACGUAGGGUGCAAGCGUUGUCCGGAAUUAUUGGGCGUAAAGGGCUCGUAGGCGGUCCAUCGCGUCGGGAGUGAAAAGCUGGGGCUUAACCCCAGUCCUGCUUUCGAUACGGGUGGACUAGAGGUAGGCAGGGGAGAACGGAAUUCCUGGUGUAGCGGUGAAAUGCGCAGAUAUCAGGAAGAACACCCGUGGCGAAGGCGGCUCUCUGGGACGGUACUGACGCUGAGACGCGAAAGCGUGGGGAGCGAACAGG